rnacentral:ncRNA from 1 species
CAACUUGAGAGUUUGAUUCUGGCUCAGAACGAACGCUGGCGGCAGGCCUAACACAUGCAAGUCGAACGAUAUAGUGGCAGACGGGUGAGUAACGCGUGGGAACGUACCUUUCACUACGGAAUAGCUCUGGGAAACUGGUGGUAAUACCGUAUACGCCCUUCGGGGGAAAGAUUUAUCGGUGAAAGAUCGGCCCGCGUUAGAUUAGGUAGUUGGUGGGGUAAUGGCCUACCAAGCCUACGAUCUAUAGCUGGUCUGAGAGGAUGAUCAGCCACACUGGGACUGAGACACGGCCCAGACUCCUACGGGAGGCAGCAGUGGGGAAUCUUGCACAAUGGGCGAAAGCCUGAUGCAGCCAUGCCGCGUGAAUGAUGAAGGCCUUAGGGUUGUAAAAUUCUUUCGCUAGGGAUGAUAAUGACAGUACCUAGUAAAGAAGCCCCGGCUAACUUCGUGCCAGCAGCCGCGGUAAUACGAAGGGGGCUAGCGUUGUUCGGAAUUACUGGGCGUAAAGCGCACGUAGGCGGACUUUUAAGUCAGAUGUGAAAUCCCGGGGCUCAACCUCGGAACUGCAUUUGAAACUGGAAGUCUGGAGUUCAGGAGAGGUUAGCGGAAUACCGAGUGUAGAGGUGAAAUUCGUAGAUAUUCGGUGGAACACCAGUGGCGAAGGCGGCUAACUGGACUGAUACUGACGCUGAGGUGCGAAAGUGUGGGGAGCAAACAGGAUUAGAUACCCUGGUAGUCCACACCGUAAACGAUGAGAGCUAGUUGUUGGCAGGCAUGCCUGUC